AAAUCGAAAUACUGCCCAAAGUGGACAAUCUUCAAAAUCAUUUAAUCAGGUGCUUGAUGACGAUGAGCUACCCCGGGUUGAAUGAAGUACGGACUAAUGUUCAUUUUAUGUAUCUAUUGCAAGUACUAAUUUUAUUUCAAACGAUUGUUAAUUAAUUAGUGAACUUUCAUUUAUUAUUGGUUAGUAUCGGCACUUCGUUUA